CAGAUUUUACCGUACCUCGGCCCCACAAUGUGUACCAGCUAGGAGUCUACUUAACCACCUUCAUCGACUUCAAAGAAACGACUUGGGCUUAUUGUGACGAAAAUGAUCUGAGGGAUGUAGCGUUCAUGAAACCAAACGAAACGCCUGCAGUUCACUGUACUGGAAUUUCAAGAAACGCUAAGCGAUGAACACUAAAAACAAUUUACUGACAAAAGAAAUUAUUGUGCUGCAUGUCAUGUGAUUCAGUGAUCUUAUUCUAUCAUAAACUCA